UUUGAAAACAAAAAUGGCGCUUUGGAACGAUAUGUCACCGUUGAUGUUCAUUGCUAUUUUCCAGAGUUUAUUUAGUUAUUCUAUGCUUUUAUACCUUUAGCAUUGCAUAAAUGUACAUAUUAUGAUCUGUAAUGUUAUAUAGUAUAGCUUCUCAAGUUUUUAACUAACUAGUUUCUUAAUAAUUUAUAAAUUUGCAGGUUGAUAGGUUAGAAAAAUGAUAAAUCAAGCCGGAGUUGAAGCUUUAUAUUCGGCAACUUAUGUUGAAAAUUACCUGGACUGUGUAGAAAAUCUACCAGAUGAUCUUCAAAGACAAUUGUCUCGUAUGCGAGAGUUGGAUAUUUCUUAUCAAGCAUUCUUGAAAGAAGUGGAAUCACAACAGGACGCGUUGCGCAACCACAGUGACAACCAUCUGCGACGAAAGGCGCUGCACAGAGUGCAGACUGCGCUGAUUUCGGCCCAAGAAGUCGGAGACGAGAAGUUGCAACUGGCACAAGCCGUACAGGACUUAAUCGAAAACAAAUCCAGGCAGUUGGACAUCGAUUACAAAAAUCUUGUUUCGUUUUCGGACCACGGCAAGGAGCAGGAGAACAGCGAACCAGUUGCCAAAGAUACGCAACAAAAGGAGAACACCACAAAAGAGUAUGAGGGCUCCGGCGGCGGUGGCGGAGGAAGUGGUGGUGGAGGAGGUGGUGGCGGUGGGGGAGGGGUUGGAGAGAGGGAGCGCGGCGAGAGGGGCGGGUCGGGAAACUCAGGUGGUGGGGGUAAUUCGGGCAGCGGAGGGGCAAGCGAACAGCGACAGAACAAGCGGCCUCGGCGCAGUCGCGUGGAGACGGACGAAGUGGCGGUUGCGCCCGUGGCCGCCGAGCCGGCGCUCACCCCUCUGCCUCGCAUCUCUGCCACGGUCGCCACCAAGAAGGGCGCCACCGUCAAGAAGAAGAAGCGCAAAACGAAGCAAACAGUCCAGCAGCGCGAGGAGACACCGCCCCGUGAGGACGAGAUCCCGAUCGACCCCGACGAGCCGACCUACUGUCUCUGCGACCAGAUCUCCUACGGCGAGAUGAUUCUCUGCGACAACGACCUCUGUCCCAUCGAGUGGUUCCACUUUUCGUGUGUGGCGCUCGCCACAAAGCCCAAGGGCAAGUGGUACUGUCCCAAGUGCCGCGGCGACCGGCCCAACCUCAUGAAGCCCAAGGCACAGUUCCUCAAAGAACUCGAGCGCUACAACAAGGAGAAAGAGGAAAAGUCUUAGAACCUAACUCAACCUAGCUUUCACUCAACACUCGUUUCAUAGUGACACAGUCAAACCAUACAGAAAAGAUACCAUUAUGCUGCAUUAAAGGGGUUCAUUCAACAAAUACCAAGCUCGUUUCAUAGUGACACAGUCAAACCAUACAGAAAAGAUACCAUUAUGCUGCAUUAAAGGGGUUCAUUCAACAAAUACCAAGCUCGUUUCAUAGUGACACAGUAAAACCAUACAGAAAAGAUACCAUAAUGCUGCAUUAAAGGGG
rnacentral:misc_RNA from 1 species